GAACCGCACCCUCUUCAGGGUUAUAUGUAGCAAUUAGUAGUGGUUUGCAUGGAUGGCGGAAGCUGAUUCCCUCUCUUUCUACAGUAUUGACUCCCUCUGUCAAUACAUUAAGAAGUAGGUUACUUAUACCUUCAUCUAAUAGAUUGAUCUCAUCAACAUAUAGAACUCCUCGAUGAGCUUCUGCAAGGAGGCCCGGUUGAAAGACAGUGGUUCCAGAUUUCACGGACUCCUCAACAUCAACAGAGCCAAUCAAUCUAUCUUCUGUGACACCAAGAGGAAUCUGAACAAAUGGAGAUUUAACUAUCUGGGUCUUGAUAUUGCCAUCAGAGUCGUAUUCUACUCUGUCAGCUAGCCCAUCUUCCCACUCUUCAGAACAGUUCGGAUCAGCAUUUGCCAUAGAGCCAACAACUACUUCAAUUGGUGGCAGAAUAGCAUGCAACCCACGUGCCAUUACAGUUUUAGCUGUUCCACGCUUCCCAGAUAUUGCAAUUCCUCCUAUCUCACGGUCAAUGGCCCCAAG
rnacentral:misc_RNA from 1 species